ensembl:lncRNA
GAAACAGGAGAAUUGUUCCUGAUUUAGGUCAUAAAAAUGCAAGAUAAACCCAGAGGAAUCCACAGCAAAUGAGAGAAAAGAAAGAGACUGGCUUUUGGUCCAUGCUACUCCAUUCUUUAUGCCAAGAAAAAAAAAAACAAAUUAUGAGUAAAGAAAAUAUUUAUUUGCUGCUUAAGUAAAAUUACAGAAUAUAUUUUGCAUCAUGGCUAAACAUGGUACUGUCUAAAAAAACUAUAUAAGAGUAUUUGAACAACCACAGAGGUUCUUCUAAAAUAAUUUGUAGUUCAAUUGGGAGUUUCUUCUGGAUGGGUCUGGUUUUAAAGUAUUCUGCUUAAAUAUGUCAUCCUUUGUGUCAUAAAUAUACGUGUAUAUAUAUUUAGACCAUUAUUAGAAGACACUAAGUGAAUGUGACUAGUUGUUCUAAAUUCAGAUUUACUAUUUGAGUAGCAAAUGUAUGAAUAACAUAAUGACCUCAAAAUUUGUGAGGUCUAAACCUUUUCAGGGCAUUCUAUACACUUCUACAUUACCUAAGAAGCUACCCAAAAUAUUACCUUUGGACAAACCUUCUGAUUGGGUUUGAUUUCCUAAUUUGGGUUGAUCUGAUUUGGUUUGGGUUUGAUUCCCCUGCCCAGAAGAUUAAAAAAAGGAAUAUAAAAAGAUGAUUUAAAGACCUCCUCUCUCCUCAUUAGCUGAUUCCUUCAUUGAAAAGCUUGUGAUUAGUUGAUUAAUAUGAUAUUACAGAAAUUAGUUGCAGUUUUUUGACUCACCUUUCUAAGGAAGGUUGAUUCAGGUAAGCAAAGUAAAGCAGACCAGAGAGCUACCCACAAUCCAAAUAUGAAAAAGAAGGAGGAGCUCAUAAUGUCUGAAAUCCUCGGAGAAACUGUGCUCCAGACUCAGUUCUGAACCAGAGGGAAAAUGUCUGGGCUGCUCCUGGCUGACUCAUGCACUCUAUCCCAGGUACAGAGCCAAAGCAGCACAAAGAAUUCCCAGAAGUCUCAUUUCCACACAAGAAAUGACUCUUCAGAAGAGCUCGGGGGUAUGGCAGAGGAUAUAUCAGCCGUGAGGGAGAUGAUUUGGCUGAGCUGACUGAGAUAAAUGACCCAACUCUUCAUCCUGAGCACAAAACUCUCCAGCCUGAAGCUGACUCCACUGAUGAGUUAAAAACUUGCCAUCCAGCUGUUCCAGCUGCUAAUUCAUCAAUUACAAACCAUGUAAUUUAUGACUAGGACUGAAGUUGAGUGUGUCAUGAUCAAAAGCCCUGCAGUAAGACAAGGGCUCCGUGAUGUUCUGAAUUAUCUGGCAGUUCUCUCUGCACGAUCCUGGGUGGAUUGCAAUCAGCCAGUGAAGUAAUGCAGAGGACCUUUCUCCUUCUGGAACUAUGGGGAGUGCUGCCAUUUAUCUCAGAAGGAACAGAAUCAGCUCCAAACCCUUCAUUUGUGCAUUACUUAAUCUCUGUACUGAGAACUGGUUGGCUGACACUUGCAUUUGGAAGUCAAAGACUAUCCUGAGAGAAACCUGAGGUGCAAGAAACCUUUGCCAUAAUUUGGGCAAAGCUCAGCACGUUUGUGAUUGCCAGAGUUUGAUCUGUCACCUCUCAAGAGCGACACUGUGUUUGAUGAAUGAGACUCUAAUUGAAUUCAAGCAAAUAAAUUGCAGGUUACAGAG